rnacentral:lncRNA from 1 species
CGCGGUUCCGGAACCGCCAGAACCGGAACCGGGCGGUUCCGGAACCGUAUGGUAGCGGUUCCGGCUCCGGAACCGCCAGAACCGCGGAACCGGAACCGCCAGACCCAGAACCGGAACCGGAUACAGCCUUAGUUCAUUAAGGCUCAUAUACCCUUUAACAACAACAACAACAACUACCCAAUAUAGUCCCACAAAGUGGGUCUGGGGAGCGUAAUAUGUAGACGAGCCUUACCCCUACCCGAAAGGGCAGAGAGGUUGUUUCCACUCGACCCUCGGCUCAGUGAAGGAAAGGAAAAACAAAAACAAAAACAAAGAAGCAUUAGUAACCCCAGCCCUACCCGAAAGGGCAGAGAGGUUGUUUCCACUCGACCCUCGGCUCAGUGAAGGAAGCUCAUUUACCCUUUAAUAUAUAUAAAUAUAUAUAUUAUUUUUAUUUUUUUUAUAGGGCUAAAAUGCUGCUCAAUAAUCCAAAUAGAUAAGAGGGAAGAACUCAAAGUAAAAGACCACUGGCAAGUAAUUUAUCAAUCUGUCUUCAUCAGGUAAACUAAGGCUCAGAGCUGAUCUCUAGCGACAAGAUUUCAGCUCUCCCGCUCUGCAUAUUAUUUCCUUCUCAUAUUUCCAAUCCUUUAGUCUGUGGUGCUGGGGUUUGUUAUGUAGGUCAAGGGAGAAGAGAAUCAGCUAGAUCUUGUUGAUAUUUGGAUACUCAUUCUAUUCACAGGAAUAGCCAUUAACUCAGGAACACACAACCAAGAGCACCAUUUCCACCACUAUAAUAAAGCAUUUGAUUGAGAAAUAGACAUACU